rnacentral:lncRNA from 1 species
UAGUCAUUCUUGUUCCUCAAUCUAUCACCGAUCCUCGGCUUACUAGAUUGAUUUCAUCGAUCUUUCCUCUACUUAGAAAGAAGAACAAGUAUGACUUAUUAUCGAGAGUUCAGGGCACUGACUGGCCAUCAUGGCCGAGUUCGAGCUCCCCCGUGUCCACCAUAGACACAUCCUACUUCAUCCACAUUUUUUAUUUUUGACACAUUCCUCACACCGGACC